rnacentral:rRNA from 1 species
AUUGAACGCUGGCGGCAUGCCUUACACAUGCAAGUCGAACGGCAGCACGGGUGCUUGCACCUGGUGGCGAGUGGCGAACGGGUGAGUAAUACAUCGGAACAUGUCCUGUAGUGGGGGAUAGCCCGGCGAAAGCCGGAUUAAUACCGCAUACGAUCUACGGAUGAAAGCGGGGGACCUUCGGGCCUCGCGCUAUGGGGUUGGCCGAUAGCUGAUUAGCUAGUUGGUGGGGUAAAGGCCUACCAAGGCGACGAUCAGUAGCUGGUCUGAGAGGACGACCAGCCACACUGGGACUGAGACACGGCCCAGACUCCUACGGGAGGCAGCAGUGGGGAAUUUUGGACAAUGGGCGAAAGCCUGAUCCAGCAAUGCCGCGUGUGAAGAAGGCCUUCGGGUUGUAAAGCACUUUUGUCCGGAAAGAAAUCCUUGGCUCUAAUACAGUCGGGGGAUGACGGUACCGGAAGAAUAAGCACCGGCUAACUACGUG